UUUUAGUAGUCAUACGCUCGUCUCAAAGAUUAAGCCAUGCAUGUGUAAGUGUAAAUAUACUAGUUUGGAACUGCGAAUGGCUCAUUAUAUCAGUUAUAGUUUAUUUGGUGAAGUGUACUACUUGGAUAACCGUAGUAAUUCUAGGGCUAAUACAUGAGAAAGUCCUCUGGUGAGGUGUGUUUAUUAGAAUGAAAACCAUAUGCUUCGGCAUGAUAGUGAGUAAUAGUAACCUAUCGUAUCGCAUGCUUAAUGUAGCGAUGAGUCUUUCAAGUUUCUGCCCUAUCAGCUUUCGAUGGUAGUAUAUGGGCCUACCAUGGCAGUAACAGGUAACGAAGAA
rnacentral:rRNA from 1 species